UACGGUCACAUCUCGUUGAAAUACCGUUUACCGUACCAUCACAGAAGUAAAGCAACGUCGAGCCUGGUCAGUACUUAGACGGGUGACCGCUUGGGAAUACCAGGUGCUUC